rnacentral:tRNA from 1 species
GGUCCCGUAGCUCAGUUGGAUAGAGCGACAGCCUUCUAAGCUGUAGGUCGUACGUUCGAAUCGUAUCGGGAUCACCA